rnacentral:lncRNA from 1 species
AAGACAAAAUACAAGAGGAACCACCCAAGGAAAAUAAGGAUGAAACUGAGGAACAACCAACGAAAGAAGCGCUACAAUUGGAAAAAGAAAUGAAUAUGCCUACCGAGUGGAGGACAAUCAAAGAUCACCCUCUCGAAUAGUUAAUUGGCAACGUUGGAGACAAGGUAAGUACCCGAAACUCUCUCAAAAAUACCUUAGAACAUA